rnacentral:tRNA from 1 species
AUCUGUAGCUCAGUGGAUAGAGCAAUGGUUUCCGGAGCCAUGUGCGAGGGUUCGAUUCCCUUCAGAU